rnacentral:rRNA from 1 species
CUUGACCGUGCAAAGGUAGCAUAAUCAUUUGUCUCUUAAAUGGGGACCUGUAUGAAUGGCUUUUCAUUCUCUAGCUGUCUCCCUUCUUCCCCCUUUAAACUUCUAUUUACGUGAAGAAGCGUAAUUUUGACAGAAAGACGAGAAGACCCUGUCGAGCUUCAGCUAAACCUAAGUCCCACUACAUUUCCUCUCAGAGAAAAAGUAAAGUCCUUAGAACAAGCUUUGGUUGGGGCAACCAUGGAGUAAAAACAGCCUCCAGUUUUUCAGGUAGAAAACUAUUCUCCUAAAAAUAUACACUUUUAGAACCAAAAAUUUUGGAAAACGGAAAAAGUUACCGCAGGGAUAACAGCGUUAUCUUUUCUGAGAGCCCUUAUUGACGAAAAGGAUUGCGACCUCGAUGUUGGAUUGGGGUAACCAGAGGGUGCAGCAGCUCUCCAAGGUUGGACUGUUCGUCCAUUAAUUCCC